GUUGGUGAACCAGCGGAGGGAUCAUUAAAGAGUUAUUAUAAACUCCCAAACCCAUGUGAACAUACCUAUCGUUGCUUCGGCAGGUCGCGUCUACCCUGUGUGCCCCUACCCUGGAGCACCUACCCGGUAGACGCGGGUAAGCCUGCCGGUGGCCCACGAAACUCUGUUUAAUAUUGAAACUCUGAAUCUAUAACUAAAUAAGUUAAAACUUUCAACAACGGAUCUCUUGGUUCUG
rnacentral:misc_RNA from 1 species